CUGAGAAGGUACAGAGACUCU
rnacentral:siRNA from 1 species